UUAUUCUCUUGUUGAGUUAUUAGUUGAUUCGGCAUCUUCUUAGAUCAAGCGUGGCAAUGGUGUCAGAUUCAUAUUUUGACCGAACUUCUUGUUUGUUUUCUCUAUUCAUUUUGACUUUUAGCUCAAGAUCAUUACUUGUAACUCUUCCUUUUGAAUUCACUUUUAUACAAGUGUAUGCAUCCACUAGGUACGAUCAGUAGUGUCGCGUUAUGGCAAAUUGUAGAAAUUUGAAGUCAUACAAAUUGACUAUGUGAUAGUUUCAGUAAAUGAUAAGUUUGUUUCCUUUCUUGAGAAAUUAUGAAAAGCUUGCUCGUUAUUGUUUGCCAAACUUAUGUCCUCUUAAAAGAAAACAUGAAUUUGACCUUCUAAGGAUUUCUUUUGUAUCGCACAAUAGAAUUUUCCACCUUGUUCAGAUCACCAAAAUGAUGAGAUUUUCACCGAAACAAGUUUCUAGUGUUUUGUUCGAUGAGACUGGCGUAUUUUUCAUGUUUCUACCUUCUUGGAAGUCAAAUCUCAUCUCCUGUAGAUUCUUGAUUGUUUGUGAAUUAUUUUAAUCAAUUGGAUAAACCUCUUUUUGUUUUUUUUUUGUUUUUUUUCUUUUGGAUCUCUUUGGUAUUCAUUAGAGCAUUUCUAUAACUUCUUCAUUUCUUUUUACAAGUUUCAGUUCUUUUUAUCUACAAAAGGACAGAACCAUGGCACUCCUUUUAGAAGAUUUAGUUUCACAUAUUUUACAGACUGUUUGUCCUAGUAUAUUUGUUUUGCUGCUUAAUUUACCAUAUUGUUUAGCAAUUAGUCUUAAUUCAUAAUCAAUGAUUUCUGAUUGAUGUUGUGUUUCUUAUUGACUUGUAAUUUUUUUUCCUUUUCCUGCCAAGUAUUGUCUUUUGAUUUGUCUUUUGAUGUCACCAGCAGUUAAAGCAAUAGAGCAAAAUUUGAAAACAAACAGCAAACAUCUUGCCCUGCUUAAAGCAAAUUUUGGGCAAGACAAGUUUGAAUCAAUUGAUUGAGAAUUGCGAGAUGAUGCUGCAUGGCUUGAGCGAUGAAGAGCCAGUUAAUUCCUCAUUACCUGAUGAUGCAGAGUUUUCCUCAUUCCGAUCAUGCUGUACAGAGUGUUCAGAGAGAAUAGAACACUGGAAUGAGGAAUAAAUGAAAUGUAAGUUAACUUACAUCAGACACACUGUUGAAGAGAUU